rnacentral:piRNA from 1 species
CAUUCAGUAGCCUUAUCCUGUUGGUGG